AACAAGGCGUACCUGCGGACCUGCGGAAGGAUCAUUACCGAGUUUACAACUCCCAAACCCCUGUGAACAUACCUAUACGUUGCCUCGGCGGAUCAGCCCGCGCCCUGUAAAACGGGACGGCCCGCCCGAGGACCCUAAACUCUGUUUUUAGUGGAACUUCUGAGUAAAACAAACAAAUAAAUCAAAACUUUCAACAAUGGAUCU
rnacentral:misc_RNA from 1 species